AUAAUAUGUGUGAUUCAUGGCACAAUUCAAACAGUAUCAAAAAAAUACUUGUCUCUCGCCAUUGACUACCGUUUUUCUGAAAUAAAGUCCCAUGGCGGUCCACUGGAAGGGGCGGGACUUUGCCUCUCUAUAGAGCAACUUUGGGAUGUUGUGAAACUGGACAUUUGCAUCAUGGAUGUGCAGCCGAUAUAUCUGCAGCAACUGUGUGAUGCUAUCAUGUCAAUAUGGACCAAAAUCUGAGGAACGUUUCCGCACCUUGUUGAAAGAAAAGAAAAAGUCAAACCCGGUCGGAGCAAGGUGUACCCAACACGUGUGACAUGCACUAUACUGUCUCUGUACCAAACAUCUUCUGACUGAAUUUCCCCAUGGACAAUGAGCAGCACUGUGUCAUGUCGUGCGAGCAGGAGCCGAAGGAACCAACUGCAGAGAGAAAGGCCUGUUGUGUAGUCAGAUCAGAGCUUAACUCUCAGGCGUCCUGCCAGGACAGCUGCACCCGUUUGGAAGACUUGCAGCCACAGCCACGAGGCGCCUCAGAGGAGCGUCUGAUUCAUGGAUAUCGCUGCCUAACCUGAGAGAUGAAGCAGGAAGAGGCACAGAUGGGCGCAGAGGGAGGAGACCACUGCCUGUACAGAGGAGAUGGUGACAACAUCUCACGGUCAGCAAGGGCAGGAAACUAACUCUGCUCUCUUCCAGUUUCUGCCACUGACAGCACUCAUCUGAAGGAAGGAUGUUUCAUACUCUUCAACCGUCUCACAGGGAAUUACAGGAAGCCUUGGAGUGCCCCUCACAGUUAAAGGAACAGAAAGAAAGCGGGUCACCAUGGAGCUAAUUUUGCUUGCUGCAGAGCUGUGAGAGCCCACCAGCAACUCUCACUUUGUCUGUGAUCUCUCCCCAAUCCCUCUGCCCUGCAGCAAUCCCCUCAGCAGCCAGCAAGGUCUAUGUGACCCCUGAGGGCUGGCCAGCCAGUGAACCCCUCAUGAAGGCCGAGGAUCUAACACAGAGGGGUUUUAACAAUGGCUCGGUCGAAGAAGAUGAUGAAGAAGAAGAGGAGCGGCACCGUGUGCUGUGAGAGACUAAUCAUCACGCUCAUGGGCUUCUGGAGACCGAAGGUGCCAGACUUCACCACGGAGCUAAAAACCAUCUUGAGGGAGCAGAAAUCAAUGAACACGCUCAUCCAAAGAUCUGUGUUUGACCUGCUUUUGAAGCAUUGUUGUGCUCUAAAAUACUGAAACCGCUUAUCUCAAUGUUUUUUAACUUUCAGAUCGCUGUCUCGGGAAUAUGUGUGAGUACAUUACUCCAAAGAACAAAACAGACAGUUGAUUGAUGGGUCCAAAGUAUCCUGUAAAGUAGAAAACACCAGAUGAAACAAAUAUACACUAUCAAACUUUGAGUCUCACAGGCCUAUUGUGCGUUUUUGAAGAGAGCACAAAAGCUUCUUUUUUUCACUUUUUUUUGGAGCUGUGAAACGUCUUUUGUUGGGAGAUUUCCAAAUAGUUUCCAUCCGUCCCAAAUCCUUAACAUUUUGGAAUAAAUUUAAAUGCAGGUUGUGAAAUGGCUGCAGCUUUCAGCUGGUUAUGCAGAAAAUAACGAGGUUCUUCUACCUCCAAAUUGUUCAGGGAAGUCCCACUUAAAUUCCUGCACCCCAGGAUCACAUCAGGAUACGUCUUGCACAGAAACUAGAUGAAUUAGCAAUAAACAAUAAAAAGCAUCACCUCCAGCUCACUAAUGACUACCCAUGAUCCUCCUCUCCUUCCUGCACAUAUUCCACCAGGGAGCGGGAGAGUGAUGUGGGGUGUGCCUCAAGUUUUCUGCUUACCCUUAUUGCUUUUGCUGCCGAACACAAUAUUAUUAUCUUCAGCUGCAGGCCUCAGAGCACACAACUUGUAAAUAAUAAACCAAGCUGGACAGAAGCCUGUGAGGCCACUGCUAAUCCUGGUAUUAUUCCACUUUUAUUGUUGCUAUUUGCUCAUUAUUUCUCAUCUCCUCUGGCUGAAGACAGCCAGUUAAAUUAUUUUCACCCCAUUGUUUUCUUCUGCCACAAAGGCCGAAUUAGCGUCGAGGACAGGCAACAUUUAGAAAUGCCUUUAUUCCUUUUUAGCCCUCCUUUCCUCACUCUUGACCCCUUUAGCGCCCACGAGGCAUCGCAAACUGUCACUGUGGGUGUUGGUUGAUGCUGUAAGUCCUGAACAUAAUUAUGAAUAAUGUUUUUUAUUAUGUUUUAAUUUGAAAACUUCCUCCCAUUCAGGGAGAAUCUGGAAAAAGGGAGGUAGUAAUCUCCAGAUUCAAGCUACAACCCUGUUGGGUCACUCGUGGAUGUUUUGGGAGAAUGAGAUCAACACGAAGUUAAACCAGACUGAUGUUUUACUCAAAAACCAAUUUGGGUAGUUAUAAUUCAGUCAUCUGAGCGUGAUGUUUGAGCCUCCAGAGAGCUGCAAUCUUCUGUAUUUACUGAAAAUGGAAACACGCAGGUCUGACUCAGUAGUCCUUAUGGGAGGAAGGACUCUGACGAAGCCUCGGGGCAAAACUAGCUGUUCUCUUAAAUGUGCUCAUUGUUGCUCUGCAGAUACCUAAAGAUAUGCAGCUAAUGAAACGGCUCUGAAGGCUUUCACUAUAUGGAACAUUACUUUCUGUGUGGUAUGAAUAAUUAUUCUUGCUCUUACUGCACCUGAUGAAAGUUCUGCUGCAUAGAAAAUCUGCAUUUAACAUUGUACUAAACUUACCCAAUACUAAACAUUAGUAGGGCUGCCCCCUCUUAGUCGAUUAAUUGACUAAUCGGUUGUUUUGGUUUAAAUCGACUAAGAUUUCUUAUGUCGAUUAGUCAUUUUUUUAUGUUUUUUUCAUGUUGAAUUACUUAUUUCUAAGAAACUUAUGAGCACAUCUCUUGUAAACACAAGAUCUGAAGUGAUGCUUUUUGUGUGAUUCUUCAUGGAGACACUCAGUUUUACAGAUCUUUGGAUUAAAGCAACUAAUCGAUUAAUCGAUAAAAUCGCGUUGGACGUAUUUUGUCGUGGUUUGUCUUGGACGUAUCACAAAUAUGUUUGUAAUAGUUUUAGGAAGGAUGUAGUACAACGAGUGUCACGCAGAGCAGGUGACGUUGUAGAUCGAGCAACUGUUAAUGAAAGUUACGUGGUAUAAUAACGAAUAUAACAAGCUGCUGUUCGUGUCCUGUUUAAAUCUAAAAGUCAACGUUGACUUAUUUAUGUUGCCUAAACCCAACUAAGUAGUUUUGUGCAUUUUUCUUUUUUUUGUUAUUCACGUUAACCACUUGUUUAAAACUGUUUUCAACACUACCGUAAAAAUGCGACAAUUAUUGCGGGAAAAAAUAUGUUUCCCUCAGAAUGUAACUGAGAAUGCAGUUUAGUUGUAUAGCUAUGUAAUUUUGUGGGAGACGGGGUUGAGAUUUGAGUUUGCCAGUGUUGUCCUCCAAUUAAAAAUUGAAGUGAAGAAAGAA